rnacentral:rRNA from 1 species
UAGGGAAUCUUCCACAACGGACGCAAGUCUGAUGGAGCAACGCCGCGUGAGUGAAGAAGGUUUUCGGACCGUAAAGCUCUGUUGUUGGUGAAGAAGGAUAGAGGUAGUAACUGGCCUUUAUUUGACGGUAAUCAACCAGAAAGUCACGGCUAACUACGUGCCAGCAGCCGCGGUAAUACGUAGGUGGCAAGCGUUGUCCGGAUUUAUUGGGCGUAAAGCGAGCGCAGGCGGAAGAAUAAGUCUGAUGUGAAAGCCCUCGGCUUAACCGAGGAAUUGCAUCGGAAACUGUUUUUCUUGGGUGCAGAAGAGGAGAGUAGAACUCCAUGUGUAGCGGUGGAAUGCGUAGAUAUAUGGAAGAAUACCAGUGGCGAAGGCGGCUCUCUGGUCUGCAACUGACGCUGAGGCUCGAAAGCAUGGGUAGCGAACAGGAUUAGAUACCCUGGUAGUCCAUGCCGUAAACGAUGAGUGCUAAGUGUUGGGAGGCUUCCGCCUCUCAGUGCUGCAGCUAACGCAUUAAGCACUCCGCCUGGGGGAGUACGACCGCAAGGUUGAAAC